rnacentral:piRNA from 1 species
UACUUCAAAUAUUUUCCAAGC